rnacentral:rRNA from 1 species
GGAACGAUAACGGCGUCGAGCGGCGGACGGGUGAGUAAUGCCUAGGAAAUUGCCCUGAUGUGGGGGAUAACCAUUGGAAACGAUGGCUAAUACCGCAUGAUGCCUACGGGCCAAAGAGGGGGACCUUCGGGCCUCUCGCGUCAGGAUAUGCCUAGGUGGGAUUAGCUAGUUGGUGAGGUAAGGGCUCACCAAGGCGACGAUCCCUAGCUGGUCUGAGAGGAUGAUCAGCCACACUGGAACUGAGACACGGUCCAGACUCCUACGGGAGGCAGCAGUGGGGAAUAUUGCACAAUGGGCGCAAGCCUGAUGCAGCCAUGCCGCGUGUGUGAAGAAGGCCUUCGGGUUGUAAAGUACUUUCAGUCGUGAGGAAGGCGGCGUCGUUAAUAGCUGCGUUGUUUGACGUUAGCGACAGAAGAAGCACCGGCUAACUCCGUGCCAGCAGCCGCGGUAAUACGGAGGGUGCGA